GGAUAAGGCCCUAAGGAAGGGGAGGAUAGCCGAUAACUAUCUUUUUACUAGUUCAAGUCUAGUCUUGUCUU
rnacentral:tRNA from 1 species